ensembl:lncRNA
CCUCUCACCAGGAGAUUGUGGGUUUAACCAGACAAAAAUGAAGCACAGUCAGUUGUGUUUUUAUUGCAAUUAACAGUGAAACAUAAGUUAAAAAACAAAAAAAAACAUCUUUUCAACAUAAAAGGCUUAAAAUUCACAUGCUCCUAUGUUUUCUUCUCCUCUGAUCCUCUCCUCUUCUAUUCCUCCUCCUCUAUUCCUCUGAUCCUCUCUUCCUCCUCCUCUCCUCUUCCUCCUCCUCUGAUCCUCUCCUCUUCUCUUCUUUUUUUUGCUACUUUUGGCCACUUGAUAAAUUGGAUUUAACCUUCACCAAACUCGUUCAUCUCUGACGUCGUCAUGAGUCACACGUUUCCCCAAAACCAUCACAGUUUAACGGCAUCAGAAGAUUUACUUUGGUACAACCGGGACUAAACCAGGACUAAAUCGGGUCUAAACCAGGUCUAAACCGGGGACUAAACCGGGACUAAACCAGGUCUAAACCAGGUCUAAACGGGGACUAAACCAGGACUAAAUCGGGUCUAAACCAGGUCUAAACCGGGGUCUAAACCGGGACUAAACCAGGUCUAAACCAGGUCUAAACGGGGACUAAACCAGGACUAAAUCGGGUCUAAACCAGGUCUAAACAGGGUCUAAACCGGGUCUAAACCGGGACUAAACUGGGACUAAACGGGGUCUAAACCAGGUCGAAACGGGGACUAAACCAGGACUAAACCAGGUCUAAACGGGGACUAAACCGGGACUAAACGAGGUCUAAACGGGGACUAAACCGGGUCUAAACGGGGACUAAACCGGGUCUAAACAGGGACUAAACCGGGUCUAAACCAGGUCGAAACGGGGACUAAACCAGGAGUAAACGGGGACUAAACCGGGUCUAAACCGGGUCUAAACCGGGUCUUCAGUUUGCAGACGUCUUAAAUCCUUUUUCCUUCCUUUUUCACUGUAAACUUGGUGUCAUGUUAAACUUCUGUCAGUCGAAAAACUUUAAAUUCCAGUAAAAAUCCCCAGAUCGUUGAAAAACUCUUCACUCAGUCUUAAUUUACAAACAAAAUCCCACAUUUACUCUUUAUAUUCCAGCUCGUUCCAAAGCCGUAAAUCACUUUUCAUAUUUUAAGGCUCUUUUCUGAGUUUAUUUCACCUCAGAUUUGAAAAACCUGCUGAAAUGUUUAGACGAGAUUCACAGUUAAAUAAAAUAAAUGGUGGUUCCUGCGAGUGCGAGGCCGGUCCAGCCAAAUGUCCCGUUAAAACAAAAGCUUCUGCGUUCAGCCACGAGACUCACACUCCCAGAAGGCCGAGCGGCAGAGUCGU